rnacentral:rRNA from 1 species
GACGAACGCUGGCGGCGUGCCUAAUACAUGCAAGUAGAACGCUGAAGGAGGAGCUUGCUUCUCUGGAUGAGUUGCGAACGGGUGAGUAACGCGUAGGUAACCUGCCUGGUAGCGGGGGAUAACUAUUGGAAACGAUAGCUAAUACCGCAUAACAGUAGAUAUCGCAUGAUAUCUACUUGAAAGGUGCAAUUGCAUCACUACCAGAUGGACCUGCGUUGUAUUAGCUAGUUGGUGAGGUAACGGCUCACCAAGGCGACGAUGCAUAGCCGACCUGAGAGGGUGAUCGGCCACACUGGGACUGAGACACGGCCCAGACUCCUACGGGAGGCAGCAGUAGGGAAUCUUCGGCAAGGGACGGAAGUCUGACCGAGCAACGCCGCGUGAGUGAAGAAGGUUUUCGGAUCGUAAAGCUCGGUUGUAAGAGAAGAACGAGUGUGAGAGUGGAAAGUUCACACUGUGACGGUAUCUUACCAGAAAGGGACGGCUAACUACGUG